GACGAACGCUGGCGGCGUGCUUAACACAUGCAAGUCGAACGAGUGGCGAACGGGUGAGUAACACGUGGGUGAUCUGCCUUGCACUUCGGGAUAAGCUUGGGACACUGGGUCUAAUACCGGAUAGUGCAAGAUGAGCUUGCGGCCUAUCAGCUUGUUGGUGGCGUAAUGGCUACCACGGCGCGACGGGGAGCCGGACUGGGAGGGUGACCGGCCACAUAGGGACUGGGAUACGGCCCGGAGGCCUACGGGGGGCAUCGGUGGGGAAUGUUGCACGAUGGGCGGAAGCAUGAAGGAGGGGUGCCGCGUGGUAGAUGUCGGCCUUCGGGUUGGAAACUGCGUUCGACUGGGACGCGGUAUCUGUAUAAGAAGCGCCGGCUAACUACGUGCCAGCAGCCGCGGUAAUAC
rnacentral:rRNA from 1 species